CCCAUGUCCCCUCUGUCCCCUACCACAUUUCAAUUUUAACUAUGUCCACAGUGUCCCUUUAAUGUGAUGCAUCUUAUAUAUAUCAACUUGCGUGUUGUAUUGUCCAUUUUGCAUGUCCCUCUGGUGCGGGUCGCCGUCUUUGUUGCCUAUCUCGCUCUGCGUUCCAGCCAUUCCCUGGGGAGCAGGCCCAGCGCCCUGGGCCCCCUUGGUGGUAAGGCCAGGUCUCCCGUUACCUCGAUACCCAGUUCCUGGAGGACACCUCUGGGGUCCAUGGAUGGUGUCAGCACUGUCGGUCUUGGGCCAUUAAAGAUGAGCAUCUUAAAGGGGAAGCCCCAUGCGAAGCGCAGGCCUUUGGCUCUGAGGAGGUCAGCGAUGGGUUUCCAUUCUCUUCUUCUUGCGAGGGUAGUUGGAGCGAUGUCUUGGUAGAUCUGUAGCGCCGUUCCUUUAUACAUGUAAUGCUGGAGCCUGCUUUGCUUGAGAAUUGCUUCUUUCGUGGAAAAAAAGUGCCACCUGAUGAUGACAUCUCUGGGAAGGCUGUUUUGCGGUCCCUUAGCUCGCAGUGCCCUGUGUAUUCUGUCGAUGUGCCACAGCUGAUCUGGUAUCUGUGGUAGGCUGGCGCGGUAAAUCUGCGCCAUUAGCUGCUCAAGGUCUCCAUCUGCGACCUCCUCUGGUAGGCCUCUUAUGCGCAUGUUGUUGCGCCGUGUUCUAUUAGAGUUGUCUUCCAGCUCCAUUUCCAGUUCAGCUACCCUGAUGAGUAGUGCGUUUGUGGUUGUGGUAUUAUCAUUCUGUGCUGCUACCACAUCUUUUAGCCUGCUCUCUAGGGCCUCUGUACGAAUGCCUAUGGCCUGGAUUUCUGCCUUCACCUCCCUAGCUGAUCUGUCUAUCUCCCCUGCCAGAUACCCCUUUACCUCCUCCAGAGAGUGGAGUAUAGCAUUCUGGGGGUCCUCCGUGUGCCCAAAUAGUGAGGAUGUCGGCGUGGCCGGUGAGCCAGGAGCGGAGGUGCCCGUCGGGCUUUCCGCGCCAUGUGCACCACGUGGCGCGGGCUUAAUGGCAGCCAGCAUGUCCGCUACAGAGGGAUUGCCGCCUUUCUGUUUCUUUGCCGCCGCCUUCCUUUGUGACAUGUUGCUCGGGGGGCACUGCGAUUUUGCCGAUACCAGCGUUGUGCGUAGGGGUGUUUUUUAUGGAUAAGUGCGGAUUGCCGGGCGGGUUACUGAGCCUCUGGUGUGGAGCUCUGGAGUUAGGCUGCCAUCACUCUCGGAGUCCAAGCCACGCCCCCCUGCCUACUGGCUUUUAAAGUGUAAAGCUGGUGUGUGUGUGUGUGCGCGUUUGUUAGUGUGUGUCAGAUCAGCAAGUGUGUGUGUGCCUGUCAGUGAGUGUUUCUGUUUAGGUGACUGCCUCCACCCCCCUUUCAUUCAAAUGGGAGAGGUGUUUUUACUCUCCUCUUGGUGCAAUGGGCCAUUUGACUGGAUUUGCCCCCCAGGUUUAAAGUGAUACUCCAGGCACCCAGACCACUUCUGCCCAUUGGAGUGGUCUGGGUGACAACUCCCACUACCCUUAAACCUGCAAGUGUAAUUAUUGCAGUUUUCAUAAACUGCAAUAUUUACAUUACAGGGUUAAGUCCUCCUCUAGUGGCUGUCUACUACUACUCAUAGAACACAAAAACUGUUUUAAAACAACGCUGGACGUCCUCAUGCUAUGUGAGUACCUCCAGUGUCGCCAUAAUCCCCAUAGGAAAGCAUAUAAGGUCUAAUUCGCAUGUGCGGCCAUUGCCGUGCAUGCGCAUUAGGUCUCUCCACCGCCAGCUGGCGUAGGUGGAGCCUGACCCAGCACGAGGCACAUCGGCGCUGGACUCUGGUAAGUCACUGAACCCUUCAGCAACUUGGGAUGGGGGGUGGGAGGUAGAGGGGCACUAGCGGGUCCUGCAGUGCCAGGAAAACGAAUACACACAUACACACAGACAAACCCCACAGAGGAAAGCACCAAAUUGAAGUGGAUGAAUCAGAAAGGCUAACCUACCAACACACGUGGUCCUGCCCCUAUGAUUAAUAAAGAAUGAACUACUUCUGCAUUGGAAUAACCAAUUUAAAUGAGAGACCUUAUAUUAGACAUUAAUGUAAUAAGAGAUUUUCAAAGGUGGAGCAUUCCAACGUUGCAGGUUAACUAACUGAAUCCCAUAGAAACAUAUUGUGACCCUGAUACUCCACAAUUUUAUCAAUAACUUGGACUUUGCAAAGAACAUUAAAUUGCUACAGUAAUUAUACAACACAUAAGCUAUCAAAAGUCAAUGAGUCUGCACUAAGCAGAAUUUACGAAUAAAGAAAAAAAAAUUCUUUAUUUGUUUAAAAUAUUUUUUAUUUUUGUAGUGCAUAGUUUUACAGAUAUGCUUGCAUUAACAAUUCAGAUGAUUAUAUAUCACAAUGAAAGAUAGUAAUGAUAACAUGAAAAGGGGCGUAAAGAACACUAUUGGACAGGGG
rnacentral:lncRNA from 1 species